AACGAACGCUGGCGGCAUGCCUAACACAUGCAAGUCGAACGAUCCCUUCGGGGAUAGUGGCGCACGGGUGCGUAACGCGUGGGAACCUGCCCUUAGGUUCGGAAUAACUCAGAGAAAUUUGAGCUAAUACCGGAUAAUGUCUUCGGACCAAAGAUUUAUCGCCUUUGGAUGGGCCCGCGUUGGAUUAGCUAGUUGGUGGGGUAAAGGCCUACCAAGGCGACGAUCCAUAGCUGGUCUGAGAGGAUGAUCAGCCACACUAGGACUGAGACACGGCCCAGACUCCUACGGGAGGCAGCAGUGGGGAAUAUUGGACAAUGGGCGAAAGCCUGAUCCAGCAAUGCCGCGUGAGUGAUGAAGGCCUUAGGGUUGUAAAGCUCUUUUACCCGGGAUGAUAAUGACAGUACCGGGAGAAUAAGCCCCGGCUAACUCCGUG
rnacentral:rRNA from 1 species